rnacentral:rRNA from 1 species
GAUGAACGCUGGCGGCGUGCCUAAUACAUGCAAGUCGAGCGAACAGAUAAGGAGCUUGCUCCUUUGACGUUAGCGGCGGACGGGUGAGUAACACGUGGAUAACCUACCUAUAAGACUGGGAUAACUUCGGGAAACCGGAGCUAAUACCGGAUAACAUAUUGAACCGCAUGGUUCAAUAGUGAAAGGCGGCUUUGCUGUCACUUAUAGAUGGAUCCGCGCCGUAUUAGCUAGUUGGUAAGGUAACGGCUUACCAAGGCAACGAUACGUAGCCGACCUGAGAGGGUGAUCGGCCACACUGGAACUGAGACACGGUCCAGACUCCUACGGGAGGCAGCAGUAGGGAAUCUUCCGCAAUGGGCGAAAGCCUGACGGAGCAACGCCGCGUGAGUGAUGAAGUUCUUCGGAUCGUAAAACUCUGUUAUCAGGGAAGAACAAAUGUGUAAGUAACUGUGCACAUCUUGACGGUACCUGAUCAGAAAGCCACGGCUAACUACGUG